AUGGGUUUCAGGUUCCUCUGCUGGGUGGCCCUUGGGCUCCUGGGAGCAGGCCCUGCAGAUGCUGAGGUCAUUCAAAGCCCCAGACACCUGGUCAAAGCAAGGAAUCAGCCAGUGACCCUGACAUGCAACUAUGAAUCUGGGCACUUGUAUGUGUACUGGUACCAACAGGCCCAGGGAAAGAGUCUCGACUUCCUCAUUUCUUAUUACAAUGGGGAAGAGUAUCAAAAAGGCAGCCUCCCUAAUCGCUUCUCAGUCCAACAGUUCAAUAACGACUUCCUCUCUGAGUUGAACGUGAACUCCGUGGAAGUGGCCGACUCUACCCUGUACCUCUGUGCCAGCAGCCUCACAGCCCUGCCUGCUCAGCUUCCUCCUGCACAAAAACACCCCUGGCCAGCACAGGAAGUGGCAGUGAGACAAAGAGCUGCCAGCCAGUCACUCUCAGCCUAA